UUUGGAAAAAAAAAACUGAAG
rnacentral:piRNA from 1 species